rnacentral:tRNA from 1 species
GUGAAUUUAAUUUAGAUAAUAAAAUAUUUGAUUUGCAAUUAGAACACUUGGGUUUAACUCCUAAAAUUCGCA